CUGGUUGAUCCUGCCAGUAGUCAUAUGCUUGUCUCAAAGACUAAGCCAUGCAUGUCUAAGUAUAAAUGUUAUACAGUGAAACUGCGAAUGGCUCAUUAAAACAGUUAUAGUUUACUUGAUAAUCGAAUUUACAUGGAUAACCGUGGUAAUUCUAGAGCUAAUACAUGCUGGUUAGCCUGACUUCGAGGAAGGGCUGUAUUUAUUAGAUAACAAACCAAUAUUCUUCGUGUCUAUUGUGAUGACUCAUAAUAACUGAUCGAAUCGCAUGGUCCUUGACCGCGAUAAAUCAUUCAAGUUUCUGCCCCAUCAGCUUUCGAUGGUAGUGUAUUGGACUACCAUGGCUUUAACGGGUAACGGAGGAUUAGGGUUCGAUUCCGGAGAGGGAGCCUGAGAAACGGCUACCACAUCUAAGGAAGGCAGCAGGCGCGUAAAUUACCCAAUCCUGAUUCAGGGAGGUAGUGACAAGAAAUAACGGACCGAGGCGUAUGCUUCGGGAUUGCAAUGAGUAGAAUUUAAACCCCUUUACGAGGAUCAAUUGGAGGGCAAGUCUGGU
rnacentral:rRNA from 1 species